rnacentral:rRNA from 1 species
UACGUAGGGCGCAAGCGUUAUCCGGAAUUAUUGGGCGUAAAGGGCUCGUAGGCGGUUUGUCGCGUCGGGAGUGAAAUCCACUGGCUUAACUGGUGGCUUGCUUUCGAUACGGGCAGACUGGAGGUAUGCAGGGGAGAACGGAAUUCCUGGUGUAGCGGUGAAAUGCGCAGAUAUCGGGAGGAACACCUGUGGCGAAAGCGGCUCACUGGACCACAACUGACGCUGAGGCGCGAAAGCUAAGGGGAGCAACAGGGAUUAAGAA